rnacentral:lncRNA from 1 species
GGACAAACUGAUGAAAAAGUCUGCUGCAAAGUGCAGCUCUCUCAGUGAGGCUUUUCCCUAACAACACUGAGUCUUGGGUUUUAGUUACUUGUGGUUCUGGUUUUAAUAGACUUAGCUGCUGUGGGAUGCCUAAGAAGCUUAAAUUUUGGGUGCCUUAGGAUCACCAGGAAGAAAAACAAACAAACCAAUAAAGAUUUGGAUAACAAGAGAGAAGUUGAUUGAAAACUGUCAACUCCCUGAAAGUUUUAAACCAGGCAUGAAGCCUCCUGUGUCCCUCAUUCAUCAUGUUUCUGAAGACAGUUGACCUGUUGACUUAAAGACAUCAUUUAAGAGAGUCAGCCAGAACUAAUGACAGUGUGAAGACCUGCUAACCAUGUUCUCAAAAGUAAGUGAGCUGUUCCUAAACCUAUUGGGUCUAGAAGUGGUCUCAGUUUAUGGGCAGCUGACGAUGUCUCACUAUGAAGAACUUGUCCUGAUGGUGUGCAGCUGCUGAAGAUGUAUAGCAGGGAUCUUCCAUGGGAGGUCCAAGAAGGCUGAUAUCUUCCAGGCUUGCCUAUAGGUAUAUGUGGCUCACAUGCCAAGAUGGGAACAAGUAAGUCUGAGCUUGGAGAACGUUUGAUACUGCUAAGCAGAGAAGAACCAGGGGUGAGUGAAUUUUGUGCAAUGGGGAAGAAUUCUUCACAUUGUGUGUACCAAAAUGCUAUGAACUAUUAAUAUAGUCAUGCUUUGCAUAACGAUGUUUCAGCCAACAAUAGAUCACAUAUACUAUGGUGGUCUCAUAAGAUUAUACUGGAGCUGAAAAAUUCCUCUUGUCUAGUGAAGUAGCCGUCAUAACGUAGUACACAAUGCAUUAUUCAUGUGUUUGUGGUGAUGCUGGUGUAAACAAACCUACUGCACUGCCAGUCAUAUGAAAGUGUAGCACAUACAAUUAUGUACAGUACAUAAUACUGGAUGAUGAUAAUAAACGACUGUGUAACUGA